rfam:Cephalotus follicularis DNA, scaffold: scaffold4218, isolate: St1.
ACGGCAUGAUGGGGACAUUUUUGGAUGAGGUCCUUUAAUCUUUCCAAUGAUUCAUGGAACUGCUCACCAUUCUGUUGGGAGAAGCUAGUCAGAGCUCGUCUCAUCU